rnacentral:rRNA from 1 species
UAUUAUUAACGAUUUAAAUUUUAAAUUAUUAUAAAUAAUAUUAAAAAAUUAAAUAAAAUGGCAGUAUUUUUAAUAAUUAGAGGAUUUUGUUAUUUAAUAGAUAAUACACUUUAUAAUAUAUUUAAUUUUAUAAUUAUUGUAUAUUGUUGUAUUAAACAUGUAUAAUAUAAAUUAUUAGUAUGACUUUCUAGCAAUAAAAUAAUUCAAAUAAAUAUGCAUAUUAUAAUUAAAUUAUAAAUGAAAUACAAUUAUUUUAAAAAAUUGAAUUUAUAUUUGUGAUAAUUAAAUGAAAUUGGAUUUAAAAGUAAAAUAAAAUAGAUAUUUGUAUUGAAUUUUAUUAAAAAUAUGUACAUAUUGCCCGUCGUUUUUAAUUAAUAUUAAAGUAA